rnacentral:rRNA from 1 species
UACGUAGGUGGCAAGCGUUGUCCGGAUUUAUUGGGUUUAAAGGGUGCGUAGGCGGCUGUUUAAGUCAGUGGUGAAAGCCGAUCGCUUAACGAUCGAACUGCCAUUGAUACUGAAUAGCUUGAGUACAGAUGAGGUAGGCGGAAUUGACAGUGUAGCGGUGAAAUGCAUAGAUAUUGUCAAGAACACCGAUUGCGAAGGCAGCUUACUAAAGUGUCACUGACGCUGAGGCACGAAAGCCAGGGGAGCGAACGGG